ACCCUUGACUCUGGGAUAACUGCGAAACUGUAGCUAAUACCGGAUACGACCUUGGAAGGCAUCUUCCGGGGUGGAAAGUUUUGGUCAAGGAUCAGCUCGCGGCCUAUCAGCUAGUUGGUGAGGUAACGGCUCACCAAGGCCGACGGGUAGCCGGCCUGAGAGGGUGACCGGCCACACUGGGACUGAGACACGGUCCAGUCCUACGGGAGGCAGCAGUGGGGAAUAUUGGACAAUGGGCGAAAGCCUGAUCCAGCCACCGCGUGUGUGAAGAAAGGUCUUCGGAUUGUAAAGCACUUUAAGUUGGGAGGAAGGGCUAACCUAAUACGUUAGUGUUUUGACGUUACCGACAGAAUAAGCACCGGCUAACUCUGUCAGCAGCCGCGGUAAUACAGAGGGUGCAAGCGUUAAUCGGAAUUACUGGGCGUAAAGCGCGUAGGUGGUUUGUUAAGUUGGAUGUGAAAUCCCCGGGCUCAACCUGGGAACUGCAUAAAACUGACUGACUAGAGUAUGGUAGAGGGUGGUGGAAUUUCCUGUGUAGCGGUGAAACGUAGAUAUAGGAAGGAACACCAGUGGCGAAGGCGACCACCUGGACUAAUACUGACACAGGUGCGAAAGCGUGGGGAGCAAACAGGAUUAGAUACCCUGGUAGUCCACGCCGUAAAAUGUCAACUAGCCGUUGGAAGCCUUGAGCUUUUAGUGGCGCAGCUAACGCAUUAAGUG
rnacentral:rRNA from 1 species